AACGCAAGUUGCGCCCCAAGCCUUCUGGCCGAGGGCACGUCUGCCUGGGUGUCACAAAUCGUCGUCCCCCCAUCCUCUCGAGGAUAUGGGACGGAAGCUGAUCUCCCGUGUGUUACCGCACGAGGUUGGCCAAAAUCCGAGCUAAGGACGCCAGGAGCGUCUUGACAUGUGGUGGUGAAUUCAAUUCUCGUCAUAUAGUUAGACGUUCCGGUCCAAAAUCUCUUGAUGACCCAACGUCCUCUACGCGACCCCAGGUCAGGCGGGAUCACCCGCUGAGUUUAA
rnacentral:misc_RNA from 1 species